rnacentral:rRNA from 1 species
GAUGAACGCUAGCGGGAGGCCUAACACAUGCAAGCCGAGCGGUAGAAAGUAGCUUGCUACUUUUGAGAGCGGCGUACGGGUGCGUAACACGUGUGCAACCUGCCUUUGUCUGGAGAGUAGCCUUUCGAAAGGAAGAUUAAUGCUCCAUAACAUAUUGAAUGGCAUCAUUUAAUACUGAAAGCUCCGGCGGUUAGAGAUGGGCACGCGCAAGAUUAGUUAGUUGGUGAGGUAACGGCUCACCAAGGCGAUGAUCUUUAGGGGGCCUGAGAGGGUGAUCCCCCACACUGGUACUGAGACACGGACCAGACUCCUACGGGAGGCAGCAGUGAGGAAUAUUGGACAAUGGGUGAAAGCCUGAUCCAGCCAUCCCGCGUGAAGGAUGACGGCCCUAUGGGUUGUAAACUUCUUUUGUAUAGGGAUAAACCUACCCUCGUGAGGGUAGCUGAAGAUACUAUACGAAUAAGCACCGGCUAACUCCGUGCCAGCAGCCGCGGUAA